GAGGAAUAACUAUUCUCUACCUUCAGAAAAUAAUGUAUGAGAGUGGCCGUGCAUCAUGGUCUGUCCUGUGAGAGUCAUUCAAGAAAUAUUGCUGAUUGAAAGCAAUGUGCUGAACCACUACUGAUCAUUGUUCAGCCUCUAGCUUUCUGUUCAACUAUUUCUUACAUUAUUACACAUUGGGCCAGUACAUAAUAGCAGAAACCUCCAUGCAUCUGGAGAAAGAAAAAGAAGCAGACAUAGGUUGAAACUCCAGGAUAGCACCCGUGCAGCUUCUUUGCUGAGCAUCUAAUUUAGAAUUGUGAUAUGUAAAGUCUUGACUUCUGAAAAGAGGCAGCGGUUGUGGCUGCAAAAGUUCUAGAGGCUGGAGGGUCCUAAGUCAAGGAGCUGGCAGAUGAUGCGCUGGAGAGGACCUCCUUCCACAUAGACAGACGUUUUCUCUCUGUAUCUUCACAAACUGGAAAAGACAAGGGAUUUUUCUGAGGUCUCUUUCAUAGGGGCAUUAAUUCCAUUCAAGAAGAGCCUUGAUCACCUCUCAAAAGCCCCACUCUCAAAUGCCAUCACUAUGGGGAUUAGGAUUUCAACAUAAGAAUUUUGAGAGGACAUAAACUUUGUUUAUUGCACAUGGCAAGUUGAGGGGGCAUUUUGUUUUAUUUUUAAUAAAGCUUUGAUAUGUGUGUGUA
ensembl:lncRNA novel transcript